rnacentral:rRNA from 1 species
GACGAACGCUGGCGGCGUGCUUAACACAUGCAAGUCGAACGGAAAGGCCUCUUUCGGGGGGUACUCGAGUGGCGAACGGGUGAGUAACACGUGAGUAACCUGCCCUUGACUUUGGGAUAACUUCAGGAAACUGGGGCUAAUACCGGAUAGGAGCUCCUGCUGCAUGGUGGGGGUUGGAAAGUUUCGGCGGUUGGGGAUGGACUCGCGGCUUAUCAGCUUGUUGGUGGGGUAGUGGCUUACCAAGGCCUUGACGGGUAGCCGGCCUGAGAGGGUGACCGGCCACAUUGGGACUGAGAUACGGCCCAGACUCCUACGGGAGGCAGCAGUGGGGAAUAUUGCACAAUGGGUGGAAGCCUGAUGCAGCAACGCCGUGUGCGGGAUGACGGCCUUCGGGUUGUAAACCGCUUUCGCUCAUGACGAAGCUUUGUGUGACGGUAGUGGGUAAAGAAGCACCGACUAACUACGUG